UGAAUUCCGUCCUUCUCUCACCUUGGCCCCUUCCCGGCUAUCUAGGUCUGAUUCCACCCCCAGCUUGUCCAGGAAGGAGCAGGUGAGGGGCUAAAGUCGCGGACACCCCACGCUAGGCCCUCCCUGGACCCUGAGCCUGCUUCCUCUCUCCUCCCUUCAAAAACUCAGGAAGGGCACAGCCAGGCGACCAGCACGUGGAGCCCACUGAGGGGCACACACUCCAGGCUCUGCUGCCCCGGGGGUGCCCGCUACCGACCCCACCCAUCCUGGGACCAACUCGUUCCCCACCGGCCUUCCGGGGCCCGGUCGGCGGAGCUGGGGGAGACAGAGGAGUCCCCCCACGGGUGCGGUCCCGGGCCCCCUGAAAAUGGCCACGUGGAGACAGAAAGCUGCGCGCAUGCGCACACCCAGCCCAAGGACAGAAAGGCUAGAGAGAACCCGACAAAGAGAUGGAGAUGGGCCAGCGACUAAGGCAGAGACAAAUGGGGCUCCAGGAGAGCGCGAUAGGCAGGAAAUCCUUCUAAACCAGGACACUGCCCCGAAACGUUAUUGCUGUUAUUACUAUUAGCUUGAUGCAAAGGAGCAAGCGGGAGCGAGGAUCCAGCGCGGGCGAGGCCCGCUGCCACGCGCCUCCAGGCGCUGCUGGCAGCCAUUUUAGCCCUUGGCAGCCAUCUUACGGCUGGCGGCCCAGCCAGCGUCCCCACAAUGCCACCCCCGCCGGCCCCCGGCAUGCUCAGCUCGGCUCCAGGACAAAAGGCAGAAACACUGGAAAUCUGGACCCAGGCUCGGAGGCUCAGGAGGCAGCCCUGCAGCAGGGGCAGCUUCAGCCAGGGCCCCACCGUCCUGCUCCAGCGUGCGGCACCCCCUUCACCCUCGGGGGGCCAGCACCCCGCAGAAGGAGAAGGGAGGGUUGAGGCAGGGGCCCUGGGGACGCCACGUGCUACUCCAAGGCAGCCGAAGCCCCCCACGGGCCAUCCCCGGGCCCAGGGGCUCAACUAGGACCCCUGCCCUGGCAGGACAGGGAGGGACACGAGGGGGGGCAGGCCCUCGUCCACCCAGUGGGCUUAGGGGUGCGCCUUGGACGGACGGGGGCAGGUGACUGGCAGGAACCCAUACAGCAGCCGUGGGGCCCAAACCGGCCACCGGGCCCUGGUGGACAGGCUUCUAGGGAGGGUAAGGAGAACCACCCCCCCCACCCCCACCCCAGGAGUGGGAGCCCCCUGGGCCGGCCUUUGUGGGCUCUUUGGGGAGCCGCGCCUGGAGGUCGGGGCUUGCUCUAGACAACCCUCCGGGAUCAGAAGCCCUCUGGGAUCAGCCUAGCCCACCGGGGGGCACGCCAACCCAGCAUCGUGACUCCCUUCCCUGUUGGGCUCCCUGGGGGAGGGGAUAACCCCAGGCCUCAGGACAGACAGGAGGAAGGUCCCUUUAUGACACCCCUCCCCACGCCCCGCCUCAUGGCUGCUCAGCUUUUAUCUGGCAGAAUGGGGCUUAUCAGAGCCACCAGCUGAACAAACAUACAAAUCCACGGUUAGUGAGAA
rnacentral:lncRNA from 1 species